CUCACUUCAGGAUCUCGACUGUAUAUGUAUAUAUAUAUAUAAAGACGAGCGGUUGCAAUAACGCUGGCAGCCUAAUUUGGAAGCGGCAGUCUGACCAGUGUGGAGGAGGAGGAUGUCCAAAGAACGCGGUGUCAGAGAGAUUCCUUUAGCAAGUCAAUGAGAGGAGUAGCAGACACAGCAGGCAAACACUCAACAGGAGACAAUGGCAUCAUCACAGCCUGAGUGUGGAUCACCUACUGAAAAGGAAGACAAUUAUGAUGCUGCGGAAGAAGGAACAAGCAUAAGAGCACCAAGGUUUUCUGAAGAAGAAACAGAGGCUCUCAUCAAUGAGAUAAGUAGACAUACUUGUUCUCUGGUUGGUCCAGAGGCAAAGAAUCUCAGCAUAAAUUUAAAGACUUCAACAUGGGAGAAGAUAGCCAAAGCCGUCUCAAGCACUGCAGGAACAAAGCGGAGCAUGGAGAGCUGAAAGAAGAGACUUCGUGAUUGCAGGAGGAUGACCCAAAACAAGAUAAAUUCAAGACCAAAGAAGCUAAAGGAUUGGGAAAAUAAGUUCCAGGAGUACUUCAUGCUAGUUGUGGAAGAACCUAUUCCUGGGACCAGCAAAGAAGACACACCAGAAAAUAUAUAAAAAAAAAACACUCCAUGCAAGAAAAAAGGAACUUCUCCCCAAAACGGGAUACUGCAAAAGCAAAAAUAAGAAGGACCAAAGACAGAUGGUAAGCAAGAUAGCUAUGUAGUACUGUAUAGAUAACUUCACAUAAUUCCAC